GGAAGUAAAAGUCGUAACAAGAUCUCCGUUGGUGAACCAGCGGAGGGAUCAUUACAGGACUCGCAAGACUCCUACAACCCUGUGAACUUAACUAUAAGCACGUUGCUUCGGCGGGUGUCUCGGAGGGGGUUCUCCCUCCCCGAGACGCUAAACCCGCCGGCAGCCUACUAUACUCUGUCUCUUUGCGUUGGCAUCUCGAGUACAAUCAGACAAGUUAAAACUUUCAACAACGGAUCUCUUGGUUCUG
rnacentral:misc_RNA from 1 species